rnacentral:ncRNA from 12 species
GGGUGCGAUUGAACUGACUCAGUCGCAGGUAUUGCGAAUAGUCGGGCCGCUAUUC